GCGAGUGAACGGAGAUUAGCCCAUCACCGAAGCCUGCGUGUAUUUGCAUGCUAGGCAAUGUGGUGUUAAGGNUUGUACCUGGGAUCGUGUCCCUACCCGAAGUCUAAAUCCGAUUGUGGCUUUGGAUKCAUUCCAUAGCGGGUGAAAGUCCCGUGCGGGUAGGACUAUUGCAAAUCCACACGGUCCUCAGAUGUGCAUGCUUUCGAGUCGGAUUGCUUGAGAAWGCASUCCAAAGUGGGUGGUAAACUCCAUCCAAGGCUAAAUACUGGCACGAGUCC
rnacentral:rRNA from 1 species